CAGCCGCCGCGGUAAUACGAAGGGGGCUAGCGUUGUUCGGAUUUACUGGGCGUAAAAGGCGCGUAGGCGGACUGAUAAGUCAGGGGUGAAAUCCCAAGGCUCGACCUUGGAACUGCCUUUGACACUGUUUGUCUUGAGUUCGAGAGAGGUAAGUGGAACUGCGAGCGUAGAGGUGAAAUUCGUAGAUACUCGCAAGAACACCAGUGGCGAAGGCGGCUCACUGGCCCGAUACUGACGCUGAGGAGCGAAAGCGUGGGGAGCGAACAGGAUUAGAUACCCCUGUAGUCCCUGUCUCUUAUAC
rnacentral:rRNA from 1 species